AUUGAACGCUGGCGGCAGGCCUAACACAUGCAAGUCGAGCGGAUGAAGGGAGCUUGCUCCUGGAUUCAGCGGCGGACGGGUGAGUAAUGCCUAGGAAUCUGCCUGGUAGUGGGGGAUAACGUCCGGAAACGGGCGCUAAUACCGCAUACGUCCUGAGGGAGAAAGUGGGGGAUCUUCGGACCUCACGCUAUCAGAUGAGCCUAGGUCGGAUUAGCUAGUUGGUGGGGUAAAGGCCUACCAAGGCGACGAUCCGUAACUGGUCUGAGAGGAUGAUCAGUCACACUGGAAAUGAGACACGGUCCAGACUCCUACGGGAGGCAGCAGUGGGGAAUAUUGGACAAGGGGCGAAAGCCUGAUCCAGCCAUGCCGCGUGUGUGAAGAAGGUCUUCGGAUUGUAAAGCACUUUAAGUUGGGAGGAAGGGCAGUAAGUUAAUACCUUGCUGUUUGGACGUUACCAACAGAAUAAGCACCGGCUAACUUCGU
rnacentral:rRNA from 1 species